GUGAUUGUCAGCUUCCCCUCAGCAACACGCACAUGGUGAUGCACUCAGCAGUUCCCUAAUUAGCAUUUCCAGACACAGUGACCACAUUGCAGUGACACCUACCGAGAUCUUGGUGAAGAUGUAGAGGAUGAGAGACAGGACAGACAUGUACACCUGGAUCCUCUGGCCCCCAAAUCGCUUCUUCAGAUACUGCGGCAUUGUGACCACACCUGCUGCGAUGUACACAGGGACGAAGACCCAGCCAAGGGCCAGGAGCAGCCAGGUUGCCUGGGAGAGUGGGGAGAAGAAGAAGGUAUCCAGGUCCUGGAUGUAGACAGAGGGGCGGCUUCCCACCCAGAGGCAGUGCUGUGCUGUGGGAGGCCCCCGAACAGAGAAAUAAGAGACCUGGGACCUGACCCCAGUCCUCCCGUGUGACCUUGGAUGGAUCCCUCUGUCUCCUCCAGACCUUGAUUUCCUCAUCUGUGAAAUGGAUUCUCAAUUGUGAAAUGGAUUCUCGAUUCACCAUGUAGCCUCCCAGGCAUCUCUAAGGAUCCUCCCAGCACUAAUGCCAGAGACAGAGGUGGGUUAGACCCUCAGUAUUCUGGAGAAACCAGGCCAGCUUCCUUACGUUCCACUCGAAGCCACCUACGGCAAGGCCUCCGGCAGCCCCUGUCCCAGCCAGGCCGAUGAACAAGCCACUGCCCACAUUGCUGGACAUCAGAGAUGCUCCAAUCUGCAAGGCACAGUUGGGUCAAGGGUCAGGAGUCAGGAGUGAUCUGAAUGAAUCUGGAGCGAGGACCAUGAGUAGUGAGGAGCUGAUAUUUGUUGGGUACCCACUGUAUGCCAGGCACUGCAUUCAUAAAUACAUUUAAUUCCACAGAUAUCCGCAGGGAGGGGUAUUAGUCAUCCCAGGUUACAGAGGAAGGAACUAAUGUAAGGAAAGAUGAAUUCAUGGCUCCAGGUCACCCAGUGAGUAAAUGGUGAAGUGGGAAAAAAGGGAAAGUGGGAAGGAAGCCUGGAAGUGGGGAGUGUGGACCUCCGCCCUGAGGCCAUGGGUCUGAGGGCCUCCAAAGGAAGGAAGCUGAAGGGGAUAGGGAAGCCCCACAGGAGGGAAGGAAAGGCCCUCCCACCACCCCAGGGAUAGCCAGGCAGAGGGAGGAGCCGAGGGACUGAGCACAGGCCAGGUCGACCUCUGAGUUAGUUCUCCAGGGGCGCAGCCAAGCACUUGGAGGCAGUAGAGAGCAAUGAUGAUGGUGAGCAUGAUCAGGGCAGUCAGGGCCUGUGCAGCAUCUCCAGGAACCAGCUGGCCUUCUGAGUUUGGGGACUCAUUUAAUCCUCGCCACAACCCUCAGUGCUACUUUUAUCCCCAUCUUACCCAUGAGUGAACUGAGGCACAGAUAGGUAACUUGCCCAAGUCUCAGAACUAGUAAGUGACCAAAUGAGAAUUCAAUCCCUGGCUGUCUGGCUCCAGUAACACUACACAAAUGGUGCUUGCCACUUAAUGAGCACUUGGUCAAUAUUCUCUCUUAUUAUUAGAUGGGAUCUCUGACUGGGAGGGGAGAAGGGGGAGAGGAAGGGGCUCUGGAGCCUGGGAGGAGGCUUAAGGAGACCUCGGGGAGAGGGCUGGGGGCAGCUAGGGGCAGAGCCGUGUUCCUUUUUGUAUACUAUGUCACCACAGUAAAAUCACUUCCUCUA
ensembl:lncRNA novel transcript, antisense to SLC5A9